rnacentral:rRNA from 1 species
CUACGGGCGGCUGCAGUAAGGAAUAUUGCGCAAUGGAGGCAACUCUGACGCAGCCAUGCCGCGUGCAGGACUGAAGGCCUUAUGGGUCGUAAACUGCUUUUAUUUAGGAAUAAACUCUUGUACGUGUACGAGACUGAAGGUACUAAAUGAAUAAGCACCGGCUAACUCCGUGCCAGCAGCCGUCGGUAAUACGGAGGGUGCAAGCGUUAUCCGGAUUUAUUGGGUUUAAAGGGUGCGCAGGCGGACUAUUAAGUCAGAGGUGAAAUCCCGGAGCUCAACUUCGGAACUGCCUUUGAUACUGGUAGUCUUGAAUACGGUUGAAGUAGGCGGAAUGUAGCAUGUAGCGGUGAAAUGCAUAGAGAUGCUACAGAACACCGAUCGCGAAGGCAGCUUACUAAGCCGAUAUUGACGCUCAGGCACGAAAGCGUGGGGAGCGAACAGGAUUAGAUACCCGAGUAGUC